rnacentral:miRNA from 1 species
CUCCGUAUCAUCUGCUCUUCU